UUGAACGCUGGCGGAAUGCUUUACACAUGCAAGUCGAGCGGCAGCACGGGGGCAACCCUGGUGGCGAGCGGCGAACGGGUGAGUAAUACAUCGGAACAUGCCCAGUCGUGGGGGAUAACACUUCGAAAGAAGUGCUAAUACCGCAUACGUCCUGAGGGAGAAAGCGGGGGAUCGCAAGACCUCGCGCGAUUGGAGUGGCCGAUGUCAGAUUAGCUAGUUGGUGGGGUAAAGGCCUACCAAGGCAACGAUCUGUAGCUGGUCUGAGAGGAUGAUCAGCCACACUGGGACUGAGACACGGCCCAGACUCCUACGGGAGGCAGCAGUGGGGAAUUUUGGACAAUGGGGGCAACCCUGAUCCAGCCAUUCCGCGUGAGUGAAGAAGGCCUUCGGGUUGUAAAGCUCUUUCGGCAGGAACGAAACGGUGAGCUCUAACAUAGCUCGCUAAUGACGGUACCUGAAGAAGAAGCACCGGCUAACUACGUG
rnacentral:rRNA from 1 species